AUUAUGACCACUCCGCCUCCAUGCCUCAGACUGGAUCCAGCAGCUCAUCCUUUCACCAAAUAAUUCUGCUGAUCGAAGUGAGGAACAUUUUCUCAAAAGGAUUGAGGUGUCUGUCUUUAACGGAGCCACCUGAAGCAGUGGUCCUGCCUCCCUGAAGCCGGCGGUGUCGCAAACAAAACAUCUGCUUUGGUCUAAAUUCUCUGGGAGUCCUGAAAAGAGAGCGUCAGGUUUUCACAGCAACACGUUAACCAACGCUGGGAAAGGAGGCAGUUUCAGCUCAAGGUUGUGUCUAAACUAGAGACGUCAAAACUAAACAGGGGGAGAAAGUGG